rnacentral:rRNA from 1 species
ACUGAACGCUGGCGGCAUGCCUUACACAUGCAAGUCGAACGGUAACGGGCCUUCGGGUGCCGACGAGUGGCGAACGGGUGAAUAAUACAUCGGAACGUGCCCGAUCGUGGGGGAUAACGAGGCGAAAGCUUUGCUAAUACCGCAUACGAUCUACGGAUGAAAGCAGGGGACCGCAAGGCCUUGCGCGGACGGAGCGGCCGAUGGCAGAUUAGGUAGUUGGUGGGAUAAAAGCUUACCAAGCCGACGAUCUGUAGCUGGUCUGAGAGGAUGAUCAGCCACACUGGGACUGAGACACGGCCCAGACUCCUACGGGAGGCAGCAGUGGGGAAUUUUGGACAAUGGGCGCAAGCCUGAUCCAGCCAUGCCGCGUGCAGGAUGAAGGCCUUCGGGUUGUAAACUGCUUUUGUACGGAACGAAAAGCCUUCUUUUAAUACAGGAGGGUCAUGACGGUACCGUAAGAAUAAGCACCGGCUAACUACGUG